rnacentral:rRNA from 1 species
GACGAACGCUGGCGGCGUGCUUAACACAUGCAAGUCGAACGGAAAGGCCCUGCUUUUGUGGGGUGCUCGAGUGGCGAACGGGUGAGUAACACGUGAGUAACCUGCCCUUGACUUUGGGAUAACUUCAGGAAACUGGGGCUAAUACCGGAUAGGAGCUCCUGCUGCAUGGUGGGGGUUGGAAAGUUUCGGCGGUUGGGGAUGGACUCGCGGCUUAUCAGCUUGUUGGUGGGGUAGUGGCUUACCAAGGCUUUGGCGGGUAGCCGGCCUGAGAGGGUGACCGGCCACAUUGGGACUGAGAUACGGCCCAGACUCCUACGGGAGGCAGCAGCGGGGAAUAUUGCACAAUGGGCGGAAGCCUGAUGCAGCAACGCCGCGUGCGGGAUGACGGCCUUCGGGUUGUAAACCGCUUUCGCCUGUGACGAAGCGUGAGUGACGGUAAUGGGUAAAGAAGCACCGGCUAACUACGUG